GGAAUAUUGGACGAUGGGUGAGAGCCUGAUCCAGCCAUCCCGCGUGAAGGACGACGGCCCUAUGGAUUGUAAACUGCUUUUGCACAGGAAGAAACAACAUUACGUGUAAUGUCUUGACGGUACUGUGAGAAUAAGGAUCGGCUAACUCCGUGCCAGCAGCCGCGGUAAUACGGAGGAUCCAAGCGUUAUCCGGAAUCAUUGGGUUUAAAGGGUCCGUAGGCGGUCUUAUAAGUCAGUGGUGAAAUCUCCCCGCUCAACGGGGAAACGGCCAUUGAUACUGUAGGACUUGAAUUAUUAGGAAGUAACUAGAAUAUGUAGUGUAGCGGUGAAAUGCUUAGAGAUUACAUGGAAUACCAAUUGCGAAGGCAGGUUACUACUAAUGGAUUGACGCUGAUGGACGAAAGCGUGGGUAGCGAACAGGAUUAGAUACCCGGG
rnacentral:rRNA from 1 species